rnacentral:rRNA from 1 species
AGAACGAACGCUGGCGGCAGGCCUCAAACAUGCAAGUCUAGGGGGUGUAGCAAUACAUCACCGGCGGACGGGUGCGUAACGCGUGGGAAUGUACCUAUUGGUUCGGAACAACCCAGGGAAACUUGGGCUAAUACCGAAUGUGCCCGAAAGGGGAAAGAUUUAUCGCCAAUGGAUCAGCCCGCGUAGGAUUAGCUAGUUGGUGGGGUAAUGGCCCACCAAGGCUCCGAUCCUUAGCUGUUCUGAGAGGAAGAUCAGCCACACUGGGACUGAGACACGGCCCAGACUCCUACGGGAGGCAGCAGUUGGGAAUCUUGGACAAUGGGGGAAACCCUGAUCCAGCCAUGCCGCGUGAGUGAUGAAGGCCUUCGGGUUGUAAAACUCUUUCGCGCACGACGAUAAUGACGGUAGUGCGAGAAGAAGCUCCGGCUAACUUCGCGCCAGCAGCCGC